rnacentral:pre_miRNA from 1 species
UCGUAUGGAUGAGCAAAGAAGGUAGUUUUUUGAGACGGAAUUUACUCCUGGAGCAGAUGCUAUGAA